rnacentral:rRNA from 1 species
CCCGGCGAUGUCCGAAUGGGGAAACCCAGUGUGUUCCGACACACUAUCGUUAACUGAAUACAUAGGUUAACGAGGCGAACCGGGGGAACUGAAACAUCUAAGUACCCCGAGGAAAAGAAAUCAACCGAGAUUCCCCCAGUAGCGGCGAGCGAACGGGGAGCAGCCCGGAGUCUGAAUCAGCUUGUGUGUUAGUGGAACGGUCUGGAAAGUCCGACGGUACAGGGUGAUAGUCCCGUACACGAAAACACACUUGCUGUGAACUCGAAGAGUAGGGCGGGACACGUGGUAUCCUGUCUGAAUAUGGGGGGACCAUCCUCCAAGGCUAAAUACUCCUGACUGACCGAUAGUGAACCAGUACCGUGAGGGAAAGGCGAAAAGAACCCCGGCGAGGGGAGUGAAAAAGAACCUGAAACCGUGUACGUACAAGCAGUGGGAGCACCUUCGGGUGUGACUGCGUACCUUUUGUAUAAUGGGUCAGCGACUUAUAUUCUGUAGCAAGGUUAACCGUAUAGGGGAGCCGAAGGGAAACCGAGUCUUAACUGGGCGUUAAGUUGCAGGGUAUAGACCCGAAACCCGGUGAUCUAGCCAUGGGCAGGUUGAAGGUUGGGUAACACUAACUGGAGGACCGAACCGACUAAUGUUGAAAAAUUAGCGGAUGACCUGUGGCUGGGGGUGAAAGGCCAAUCAAACCGGGAGAUAGCUGGUUCUCCCCGAAAGCUAUUUAGGUAGCGCCUCGUGAACUCAUCUUCGGGGGUAGAGCACUGUUUCGGCUAGGGGGCCAUCCCGGCUUACCAACCCGAUGCAAACUACGAAUACCGAAGAAUGUUAUCACGGGAGACACACGGCGGGUGCUAACGUCCGUCGUGAAGAGGGAAACAACCCAGACCGCCAGCUAAGGUCCCAAAGUCAUGGUUAAGUGGGAAACGAUGUGGGAAGGCACAGACAGCCAGGAUGUUGGCUUAGAAGCAGCCAUCAUUUAAAGAAAGCGUAAUAGCUCACUGGUCGAGUCGGCCUGCGCGGAAGAUGUAACGGGGCUAAACCAUGCACCGAAGCUGCGGCAGCGACGCUUAUGCGUUGUUGGGUAGGGGAGCGUUCUGUAAGCCGUUGAAGGUGUGCUGUGAGGCAUGCUGGAGGUAUCAGAAGUGCGAAUGCUGACAUAAGUAACGAUAAAGCGGGUGAAAAGCCCGCUCGCCGGAAGACCAAGGGUUCCUGUCCAACGUUAAUCGGGGCAGGGUGAGUCGACCCCUAAGGCGAGGCCGAAAGGCGUAGUCGAUGGGAAACAGGUUAAUAUUCCUGUACUUGGUGUUACUGCGAAGGGGGGACGGAGAAGGCUAUGUCAGCCGGGCGACGGUUGUCCCGGUUUAAGCAUGUAGGCGGAGGUUCCAGGUAAAUCCGGUACCUUUUAACGCUGAGGUGUGAUGACGAGGCACUACGGUGCUGAAGUGAUAAAUGCCCUGCUUCCAGGAAAAGCCUCUAAGCAUCAGGUAACACGAAAUCGUACCCCAAACCGACACAGGUGGUCAGGUAGAGAAUACCAAGGCGCUUGAGAGAACUCGGGUGAAGGAACUAGGCAAAAUGGUGCCGUAACUUCGGGAGAAGGCACGCUGAUAGGUAGGUGAAGCCCCUGCGGGCGGAGCUGAAAUCAGUCGAAGAUACCAGCUGGCUGCAACUGUUUAUUAAAAACACAGCACUGUGCAAACACGAAAGUGGACGUAUACGGUGUGACGCCUGCCCGGUGCCGGAAGGUUAAUUGAUGGGGUUAGCGGCAACGCGAAGCUCUUGAUCGAAGCCCCGGUAAACGGCGGCCGUAACUAUAACGGUCCUAAGGUAGCGAAAUUCCUUGUCGGGUAAGUUCCGACCUGCACGAAUGGCGUAAUGAUGGCCAGGCUGUCUCCACCCGAGACUCAGUGAAAUUGAACUCGCUGUGAAGAUGCAGUGUACCCGCGGCAAGACGGAAAGACCCCGUGAACCUUUACUAUAGCUUGACACUGAACACUGGUCCUUGAUGUGUAGGAUAGGUGGGAGGCUUUGAAGCGUGGACGCCAGUCUGCGUGGAGCCGCCCUUGAAAUACCACCCUUUAAUGGCUGGUGUUCUAACGUAGACCCGU